rnacentral:lncRNA from 1 species
GUCGAGUCGAACUCAUUUGGGAUGAUUCCUGAACCCAAAUCGCAUGCAGCCCCGCAAAUCAAGACCCUCUUAGAUUCAUCCCAAUUCCCUUGUUUCUUCCCCAUAUUUGGCUCAACAAAACUUCCCUGCAUCACAUUUUAGUCCCCUAAUUUUCUUCCCACACAUGCUCUCAGCCAAAUAGGAUUAAUUCCAUCUUCCCAGCCAAACCAAAUUAGAAUCUUCAAACAAGCCACGUCAUCAUGCAAAACCCCUUCAUUCCAUCUCAACUUCAUGUUCUUCCCAGCUCCCGUAAGAAAGCUAUGUGUCCCUUCCUAAUCCGAAGUCUUCCUUCGGACCCAAAACAGAACAAGGAACACAACCACAGAUCGAGCUUCAUUCCGCAUUUAACCAGAUCUCCCAGCUCUCUUCCCUCUUCCGAACCAAGCAAUCAUCCGAGAUCUUCCCAACGUCUCUCCCCUGCAUCUAAUAGAUUCAGCUUCAUCUCCAACUAAAAAUCCUUCAUCCCAAACUUCCUUAACUUCUCUUCAUCCCGCAUCGUCCACGGAUGUGAUCCAUCCUUAUCCAAGCAACCUCACACGUUCACCCAUCCUCCCCUGUUUCGAGCCAUUUCUCUGCUUCUGGAAGAGAUGGAGCAACCGUACGCGUCUUCCCCGCAUUCACCUCCCCUGCUUCAUGUCCGCAGCCAACUUUAUGAGAUCUUCCACAUCUAAAGAGCCGUUGGCCUGUUCCCAGCCAACUCCACGAAUUCCCAGCC